GACGGAGGGUGCAAGCGUUGUUCGGAAUUACUGGGCGUAAAGGGCGCGUAGGCGGUCGACCAAGUCCGGGGUGAAAUCUUUCGGCUUAACCGGAAAAGUGCCUUGGAUACUGGCCGGCUGGAGGGAGGUAGGGGCAGGUGGAACUUCCAGUGGAGCGGUGAAAUGCGUUGAUAUUGGAAGGAACGCCGGUGGCGAAAGCGACCUGCUGGACCUCUUCUGACGCUGAGGCGCGAAAGCUAGGGGAGCAAACGGG
rnacentral:rRNA from 1 species